rnacentral:rRNA from 1 species
AGAGUUUGAUCCUGGCUCAGAGUGAACGCUGGCGGCGUGCCUAACACAUGCAAGUCGAACGAUGAAGUCCUUCGGGAUGGAUUAGUGGCGCACGGGUGAGGAAUACAUAGGUAACGUGCCCUUUAGAGGGGGAUAGCCACUGGAAACGGUGAUUAAUACCCCAUACUCCUUCUGUACCCAAGUGCAGUUGGGAAAGUUUUUCGCUAAAGGAUCGGCCUAUGCCCUAUCAGCUAGUUGGUGAGGUAAUGGCUCACCAAGGCUAUGACGGGUACCUGGUCUGAGAGGAUGUACAGGCACAUUGGAACUGAGACACUGUCCAAACACCUACGGGUGGCUGCAGUUCGGAAUAUUCCACAAUGCACGAAAGUGCGAUGGAGCGACGCCGCGUGCGCGAUGAAGGCCUUCGGGUUGUAAAGCGCUUUCG